rnacentral:rRNA from 1 species
CACGUAGGGCGCAAGCGUUGUCCGGAAUUAUUGGGCGUAAAGAGCUCGUAGGCGGUCUGUUGCGUCUGCUGUGAAAACCCGGGGCUUAACCCCUGGCUUGCAGUGGAUACGGACAGACUAGAGGUAGGUAGGGGAGAAUGGAAUUCCCGGUGUAGCGGUGAAAUGCGCAGAUAUCGGGAGGAACACCGGUGGCGAAGGCGGUUCUCUGGGCCUUACCUGACGCUGAGGAGCGAAAGCGUGGGGAGCGAACAGGA